UACGAAGGUCCCAAGCGUUAUCCGGAUUUAUUGGGUUUAAAGGGUGCGUAGGCGGCUUAUUAAGUCAGUUGUGAAAUCUCCGGGCUUAACCCGGAAAGGUCAACUGAUACUGCAGGGCUAGAGUGCAGAAGGGGCAACUGGAAUUCUCGGUGUAGCGGUGAAAUGCGUAGAUAUCGAGAGGAACACCUGCGGCGAAGGCGGGUUGCUGGGCUGACACUGACGCUGAGGUGCGAAAGCUAGGGUAGCAAACGGG
rnacentral:rRNA from 1 species